CCUCCUUCGGACAUAUCAUCAGAAGGUCUACCGCAGCCUAAUGUAACGCCACAAGGCCUCCGUCUUUCACCUCACUUCCUCUCAUCACAUAGGCAUUUUAUUUUGUGAUUUUUAGCCAUCACAUCAUCACAAGAAGGUUUCUGCUAGAGUUUCUCCGAGAUGUUCAGUUCAUCUUAACAUGGUGUUUGCAUUCUCCCACUGGUUCCUGACCUCUACUGGGUCUUUGGUAACUACAUAUUAAAAUGAAAUACAAAAGUCCGUUGGGGGACUUCCCUGGUGGCGCAGUGGUUAAGAAUCCACCUGCCAAUGCAGGGGACAUGGGUUCAAUCCCUGGUCUGGGAAGAACCCACAUGCCACAGAGCAACUAAGCCCGUGCACCACCACUACUGAGCCUGUGCUC